rnacentral:rRNA from 1 species
GAUGAACGCUGGCGGCGUGCUUAACACAUGCAAGUCGAACGGGAAACCUUUUAUUGAAGCUUCGGCAGAUUUCGCUGGUUUCUAGUGGCGGACGGGUGAGUAACGCGUGGGUAACCUGCCCUAUACAGGGGGAUAACAACCAGAAAUGGUUGCUAAUACCGCAUAAGCGCACAGGGCCGCAUGGUCCGGUGUGAAAAACUCCGGUGGUAUAGGAUGGACCCGCGUUGGAUUAGCCAGUUGGCAGGGUAACGGCCUACCAAAGCGACGAUCCAUAGCCGGCCUGAGAGGGUGAACGGCCACAUUGGGACUGAGACACGGCCCAGACUCCUACGGGAGGCAGCAGUGGGGAAUAUUGCACAAUGGGGGAAAACCUGAUGCAGCGACGCCGCGUGAAGGAAGAAGUAUCUCGGUAUGUAAACUUCUAUCAGCAGGGAAGAUAGUGACGGUACCUGACUAAGAAGCCCCGGCUAACUACGUG